UACGUAGGUGACAAGCGUUGUCCGGAUUUACUGGGCGUAAAGAGCGCGCAGGCGGUCGUUCAAGUCGCGUGUGAAAGCCCCCGGCUCAACUGGGGAGGGUCACGCGAUACUGAUCGACUCGAAGGCAGGAGAGGGAAGUGGAAUUCCCGGUGUAGUGGUGAAAUGCGUAGAUAUUCGCAAGAACACCAGUGGCGAAGGCGGCCGACUGGUCCGGUUCUGACGCUGAGGCGCGAAAGCGUGGGGAGCAAACAGG
rnacentral:rRNA from 1 species